CAAACAUACUAAGUCAAAACAUAGUUUGCUUGUAUCUGAUGUAUCACAGUGGACAUCCAAAUCUUUUGCCUAGGAGGUUACAGAGGUAUGCGAUUAUCCCAGAUCUUCAGACACAUUAGCUAUGUUUGCUAGACCCACCAUGUUAUAAAGCAAAGUCAGCAAGUAUGGGCACGGGGAUCUGAAAUGUACGACGUCUGGAAUUCCAAACCCAGAGUCUGUUACCUACAAAUGCAUGCUCAUUCAUUAACUUUACAUUUUAUUCGGCAUGUUCUGCCUCCACAGCCAGCUUACCACAGAAGUAAUGGGUAACUCAAACUAUUAUUUGCUUUCUUGAUGAGAUUACAUUGGCAGUCACUCAACGCCAGCCAAGAGUUAUACUUUUCUUUACCCUUUGGCGUUCACCUGGAUCCUUACAGUCCAAAUUUGAUUGCCCUAAGAGAGUCAUUUACAGGCUGAACCAGUCUUGGAAGUCACACCUGUCUUACACACUUGGCCAACCCCGUUCCCAAGAUAGUUUCAGCUAUGAUCUGUGCUAUAGCCAAACGAAAGCAGCACGAUGACGAAGCCCCGAGAGUUACCACUGACUUGACUUCCUUGCAUCUAUCAUAGCUUUGCUUUGAACCGGUAUUUCCUGAUCCAGAGUCAGGAUGGCGGAAUGAAAGAGAACGGAGAGAAACUGGGCUUACUUCUGGCCAGCGCGAAAUGCUGGAAGCUCCUCCUUUGAAGGCCGGGGCAUCAACAGUCAGACUGCGCUUUAGCUACUUUUUCCAGCAACGGUUCAGAGACUGUCUCCGCGCUAUGUUGAACUAGCGGGGCGUUCGCUGGGAUAUACGUGUCUGCACUUCCGUGUGCCGUUCAAACUCAGAAAACUCGACUGAGAAAAACGUGGCUAAAACACCCGGGGGUGCGCACGGCUAAAAUAGGGUCAGCUGCUUUGUGGUUCAGUGUGUCUUGCAGGGAUCUAGCCCGAGUGGUGGAUCAAAGUCUCCGAAAAGGCGACCCAGCAGGACUCUGGACAAACGGUUAAAUUAGCAGUGGCGGUGUAGUUCGGUAACCGGAGCCCCUGGACUUUGUAGUCCUGCUUCGACACCUCCCCCCUCGUAAUGCCAAACCCUCUGCUGGGCUUGAGGGCACCUCCUACGUUUUUGGUUGUCCGAAGCCCCCAACUUCUACUCCGGAGUCCUGCUCGAACGGCGCCGCCUCACUGUCCAAUCACGUCCUUGGAUCCGGGCAGUCCCCUCCCCUCCGUUCUCUCUCUUUCCUUUCAUUGUUCGGUUUGCCUUGAUCUGCAUUUGGAGAGCGGUUAUGCUAACUGUGUUUGGGUUGCACAGGUGCGUGUGCGCCAGUAGGCAGCGGCGUUUCUUUCUCCAGGCAGGGGCCUCCCGAACUCCUCCGGCUGGUGCCCGAGGCCUCAUCCUUCCCUUUCGGGAGGGAGGCGAGCGGUGUAAGCGCGCUUACCUGCUUGCUGCAACCGAGCAGCCGCGCCCUUGAGAAAACGCCGCCCCCAAGGUUCGUUUUCCUUCCUCCUCCUGAAACAGGAAAUUGCCUGACUCAGGAAAGAUUCCAGAAUAGUGCCUACCCUCCCUUGUCCCAGGCAGCUUCCACCUCAGACGAGAAUUCAGAGGCGCGGCCUCUGCUUGGAUCGCUUUUAUAUCUCUAGGUGCUAUUAACACGUUCCUGCGUCGUCUUCCAAGUGCCGGGCAAUUUUCCAGACAAAUUAUUUUCUACUCCAGAGAGCAGACACCAAUAUCGCCAUCUCCUUGUGAAUGGGAGUGUAGCUGUAACUUGAACCCAAGGCAUCUUACAGGAAGUGCAUUAAGAAGACUGAAGCCAGACCUUCUUCCCCAGGGCCCAGUCAUGGAAGAGCUGAUAUGGGAACAGUACUCAGUGACCUUACACAAGG